UAGGUAGAUGCACCGGACCUGAUUAUAGCAGUUAAAACCUGGAAAAGUCAGAUUUUCAUGAUAUGUCACCUGUAAGUGAAAAAUUUAAGGG